rnacentral:rRNA from 1 species
GAGAGGCCCAAACGUUAUUCGGAAUUACUGGGCUUAAAGAGUUCGUAGGCGGCAUGAAAAGCAGGGUGUGAAAGCCCUCGGCUCAACCGAGGAAUUGCGCUCUGAACUGUCGUGCUUGAGGAACCUAGAGGUGAGCAGAACAGAUGGUGGAGCGGUGAAAUGCGUUGAUAUCAUCUGGAAUACCGGAGGCGAAGGCGGCUCACUGGGGGUUUCUGACGCUGAGGAACGAAAGCCAGGGUAGCGAACGGGAUUAGAUACCCCGGUAGUCCUGGCCGUAAACGAUGAGCACUAGGCCGGAGCCCUGCACAGGGUUUCGGCCGUAGCUAAAGUGUUAAGUGCUCCGCCUGGGGAGUAUGGUCGCAAGGCUG